GACAGAGGGGGCAAGCGUUGCUCGGAAUUACUGGGCGUAAAGGGUGCGUAGGCGGCGUGGCAAGUUGGGUGUGAAAUCCCUCGGCUCAACCGAGGAACUGCGCUCAAUACUGCCAUGCUCGAGGGAGACAGAGGUGAGCGGAACUUAGGGUGGAGCGGUGAAAUGCGUUGAUAUCCUAAGGAACACCGGUAGCGAAAGCGGCUCACUGGGUCUUUUCUGACGCUGAGGCACGAAAGCUAGGGUAGCGAACGGG
rnacentral:rRNA from 1 species